rnacentral:rRNA from 1 species
AGUGAACGCUGGCGGUAGGCCUAACACAUGCAAGUCGAACGGCAGCACAGUAAGAGCUUGCUCUUACGGGUGGCGAGUGGCGGACGAGUGAGGAAUACAUCGGAAUCUACUUUUUCGUGGGGGAUAACGUAGGGAAACUUACGCUAAUACCGCAUACGACCUACGGGUGAAAGCAGGGGAUCUUCGGACCUUGCGCGAUUGAAUGAGCCGAUGUCGGAUUAGCUAGUUGGCGGGGUAAAGGCCCACCAAGGCGACGAUCCGUAGCUGGUCUGAGAGGAUGAUCAGCCACACUGGAACUGAGACACGGUCCAGACUCCUACGGGAGGCAGCAGUGGGGAAUAUUGGACAAUGGGCGCAAGCCUGAUCCAGCCAUACCGCGUGGGCGAAGAAGGCCUUCGGGUUGUAAAGCCCUUUUGUUGGGAAAGAAAAGCAGCAGGUUAAUACCCCGCUGUUCUGACGGUACCCAAAGAAUAAGCACCGGCUAACUUCGUG